rnacentral:rRNA from 1 species
UAGACGUCAGAGAUGGGGUUGUGCCUUAGGGAGCUCUGAGACAGGUGCUGCAUGGCUGUCGUCAGCUCGUGUUGUGAAAUGUUGGGUUAAGUCCCGCAACGAGCGCAACCCUUAUCCUUUGUUGCCAGCACGUAAAGGUGGGAACUCAAGGGAGACUGCCGGUGAUAAACCGGAGGAAGGUGGGGAUGACGUCAAGUCAUCAUGGCCCUUACGAGUAGGGCUACACACGUGCUACAAUGGCGGAUACAAAGUGAAGCGACCUCGCGAGAGCAAGCGGAACACACAAAGUCUGUCGUAGUCCGGAUUGGAGUCUGCAACUCGACUCCAUGAAGUCGGAAUCGCUAGUAAUCGUAGAUCAGCAUGCUACGGUGAAUACGUUCCCGGGCCUUGUACACACCGCCCGUCACACCAUGGGAGUGGGUGGCAAAAGAAGUCGGUAGCUUAACCGAAAGGAGGGCGCUGACCACUUUGUGAUUCAUGACUGGGGUGAAGUCGUAACAAGGUAACCA